ACGUUGAAAACACCGGUUCUCGUUCGAUCACCGAAGUUAAGCAUCGAGCCAGGUCAGUACUUAGAUGGGGACCGCUUGAAACACCUGGUA
rnacentral:rRNA from 1 species